rnacentral:ncRNA from 1 species
CCGGCACCGGUUCACCCCGCAUCAGGGGACCCGGGGCC